AGGGAAAAAGUAAUUUUCCGAAAAGUAACAUAAUAUAUUUCUCUUUGCUUUCUGGUUCGUAUACCCUUCUUUGUUUGAGACUAGGCAGCCGGUCUUCCUGGCACUGGCGAGAUAGAUUCCCAACAAUAUAGCAAAUAUAUGAAAAGGUGGUUCCAUAGGAAGUUUUAGUGAUGAUCUUUGUAAUGAUUCCGGAGUGCAAUGCAAGAAUUAGAAACUCAACAUCUCUAGAAAUUGCGUCUGAAAUGCCUACUUGCUUGAGUUUAUCUUCAACUGAAUCCAAACACAAUAGCUGUGUUCCAUCAUAAGGCAGCAAGAGAGCCAUCUUGAGAGCUGCAAAGCAAUCCAACUCGGCAGUAGUUUGGCUCAUGUGAAGGGUGCCAUUAUCAUCCAGCAAGAUGCCAGUAGUCUUUGCCAAGGAUCUAUCUAUCAACAUCAACAAAUCUCUAAAUCGAGAUAAUUGCACCAUCUUCUUAAAGAUCUCCAACCAACAAGCAUGCAGAGGAUGAACUACAAGCGUGUUCUCCUUCAGUUCCUUGUCCAAGGGUUCUUGAAAGCUUUCCCAUCCAUCAUCCCAAUCAUCACUGCCCCAAUUGUUUCCGGCAUCAGUUGUUUCGGUGGAAUUUGCCUCAGCUCUACCUGAUGGAAAUAGCCCUUCCCACUCUUCCAAAAUGGCUAUCAAACAAUCACAAUGGCUUCCAACUUCAGCAGCUUCACAUAAUAUCGAGAAGCAAGAAACUGCUGAUUCAACGGUCACAAGAUCUUUUGGAGUAAUCUGUAAACUGGGAGAGAUAGCAGACACCAGCUGUGACGACUUGAGGGCGACUAGAGUAUUAGCAAAUCUACUCGAAGCUUCAGUAUUAACAUUUUGCACACCAUGAUCAACGGUAGUCUCAGUGUCAGCAUCUGUUCUUUGUAAACCAUCCCACCCUUCCCAUGGAACAAUAUUGGCCUGUAUCUCAGCGGAAAAUGCCUUCAAAGUUCGACCUCUAGAUGAAAUAGAUUGCAUAAGCUCCAGGAUGUAAACUCGCACAUGGUCAGGAAGCUCCAAGUUAUCCGAGAACUUUGCCAUACUCGUCCAAACUGCUUGCCUUACCAUCUUCAGAUCCUCCAUUUCAUGUUUUACUUCACUCAAAGAUGACAAGAGAUUGGGUAGAUCUGGGUGAUUAAGGGAUGCACCAGAAGAAAGGUCUUGCAAGAUUUUUUCAAAUAUACUCAUAUAAAGAUGGCGAAGAUCUUGUGUUUCAUCACAAUAUUUCUGGCUCCCAGAGAUUGGAGUUGAGUUAGAUGGGAACUGUGACACUGCAUGAGAAUAUACAUGUGCAAUAGCUUCGAAUUUACACCCAGAAAAAAUCAUUGCUUGGCAGAAAUGUGAAAUUUCAAUAGUAAUGCUGCCAGUAAGGCCCUUCUCAACAUAGCGAACAAGAGUUCUCCAACCCUGUCUUGGUGAGACUUUCUUCCCCACAACCAGGUCUAGAAAACCUUCAACGCACACCAUUAAACAUCUCGGGUGAAAAUUUUCUGAACCCUCCUGGGACACAAAUUCCUGCAUGUCACCAGCUAGUUUUAACCAAAAUGUUAGCAUGAUUCUAAGGCAAUCCUGCCAGCUUGAAUCGCAAGAAAUAAUAUUCAAGGAAUUUUUAAAGGGUAGUAUUAUAUCUAAGUAUUGCUUCAUUAUUUCCAGGACAGCUGGACAUGUCAGUGCACUUAUAUAGUUUCUGCACAUAUCAUAUGUACUCUCAAGCUCAUUUAUGAAGUGCUGAAGAUUUUCAGGACUUUCAAAAGGAAUCCUGGAUUUAGCGCUUAAUCCCAACUCUGACAACAAACUCAAUACAUGGUGUUUGUAGACAUCGCGCCAUGAUAGAAGAACCUCCGAUUCUGGAUCCCCGCAGUAGUCAACAAGAGUCUGGACCAUCUUUGCUAGUGCUUCAACAGUAUGUAUAUCAAUGUGAGACAAGACCUCACUGCUGAAACUCUCAAGGUUUAGUCCUUGCAACCCAGCAAUAUUCUUAAAGUUCAGGCCCUGUAUAAAAGAAACUCUGGAACAUUCUUGCUCAACCACCUUAUAAAAAUGAGCCAACGCAUGAGCAGCUAUAUGUGGGGGUUUUGUAUCCAUCACGGGCAACAAGUCUUUAUCUUUUCCAAGCUGCAUGUAGCAGUCAGAUAGCAAGGCAUAUAAACAAGCUAGUCGUUGUUUGUCAUGCCCAUUAAUUGCAGGGUACACUGACAAGGAGAUGGUUUUUAUUGAUUCUGCAGCACAAGCAAGCACAUUGCCUUUAAAGAUUGAAAUUUCGGCCAUUAUAUCAUCAACAGCCCAAACAUCUGAAACAAGGACAGAAGCAAGGUACUGUUGUAGCACCUGAAACGUAAACAGAGAGAAAUUAAGAUAUGACUUCCAGCAGUAUGCAUAUANACUACCAGAGUAUUAUCUGUCAUUUACGUUUGUAUUUUGCAGUAUCUAUUUUAUCUUGUGUUACUUUGUUUCUUUCUUACAGUGAUUAAUCAAAUGUAGGAAACAGACUAAUCAUGAGAUUAUAACACUAAACAUUGACAAAAUCUAAUAACCUCUAUCAUCUAACAUUGGUAGAAAUCAUAGACAAUGCAGUUUGGAUUAGAUUCCCUAAUCUGCCUUUCAACUGGGCAACAGUAUUUGCCAAAGGUUCACAGAAGUCCCUAUCUGCAGAAGCAGAUGCAUCAUCUUGAAGAACUUGAAGCUGCUGCAUUUCUAAAUAUUUCCGGAGACUGGCCUCUGCAACAUUAAUUAAACUGAGAGAUGCAUUUGUAUGCAUGAAUUUCGUGACCAGGAUCCCAGCUAGAAUCUGCUGAUCUGCCUUCACAAGCUCUGUUAUAAAACAGGGAAAAAGUAAUUUUCCGAAAAGUAACAUAAUAUAUUUCUCUUUGCUUUCUGGUUCGUAUACCCUUCUUUGUUUGAGACUAGGCAGCCGGUCUUCCUGGCACUGGCGAGAUAGAUUCCCAACAAUAUAGCAAAUAUAUGAAAAGGUGGUUCCAUAGGAAGUUUUAGUGAUGAUCUUUGUAAUGAUUCCGGAGUGCAAUGCAAGAAUUAGAAACUCAACAUCUCUAGAAAUUGCGUCUGAAAUGCCUACUUGCUUGAGUUUAUCUUCAACUGAAUCCAAACACAAUAGCUGUGU
rnacentral:lncRNA from 1 species